CAGAUGAGGAUGAAGCAAAAAAUACUAUAAUCCAACACUUGAUCUGAGGAUUUAAUUCCAAUUGAUGUUUAAUAGUUAGCUUCUGAAUCUGC
rnacentral:snoRNA from 1 species